CAGCCGCCGCGGGAAGACAGAGGAUGCAAGCGUUAUCCGGAAUGAUUGGGCGUAAAGCGUCUGUAGGUGGCUUUUCAAGUCCGCCGUCAAAUCCCAGGGCUCAACCCUGGACAGGCGGUGGAAACUACCAAGCUGGAGUACGGUAGGGGCAGAGGGAAUUUCCAGUGGAGCGGUGAAAUGCGUUGAGAUCGAAAAGAACACCAACAGCGAAAGCACUCUGCUGGGACGACACUGACACUAAGAGACGAAAGCUAGGGGAGCAAAUGGGAUUAGAUACCCCCGUAGUCCCUGUCUCUUAUAC
rnacentral:rRNA from 1 species